GAUGAACGCUGGCGGCGUGCCUAAUACAUGCAAGUCGAGCGAACAGACGCUUUUCUUUCUCCUCUGACUUUUUCGGCUGUCGUUUGUGUUACACUUGUAUAACCUACCUUUAUUUCUGGUAUAUCUUCGGGAAUCCUGAUCUAAUACCGUCUAAUUUAUUUAUCCUCUUUUUUCAAUAGUUAAUUACGGUUUUUCUUUCUCUUAUAUAUUGUUCCUCGCCUCAUUAGCUAGUUGGUAAGGUAACGGCUUACCAAGGCAACGAUGCGUAGCCGACGUGAGAGGGUGAUCGGCGAAACUGGAACUGAGACACGGUCAAGACUACUACGGGAGGCAGCAGUAGGGAAUCUUCCGCAAUGGGCGAAAGCAUGACGGAGCAAAGCCGCGUGAGUGAUGAAGGUCUUCGGAUCGUAAAACUCUGUUAUGAGGGAAGAACAAAUGUGUAAGUAACUAUGCACGUAUUGACGGUAACUAAUCAGAAAGCAACGGCUAACUACGUG
rnacentral:rRNA from 1 species